rnacentral:lncRNA from 1 species
UAGUCCAACGUUGUUCUUGUUCUCGACAACCUCUACAAUACGACCCUAUUUGCCAAUGCUGCCAGGUUGAAUAGCCUCUUGUACAUCUUUCAAAGAAGAAAUGGGUGCCCCAAUUUUCUUCAUCUCAUCAGCAAUAGGUAAGGCUUGGAACGGUGUUCCAACAUCCUCUUCAGCAUCUACGUAUGUGAAAGAUGACAAGUGGCUCACCAACAAUGCUUUUCUCCACCAACAAUGAUAAGCUUGUCGUUG